UGAGGAAUCUUGCGCAAUGGGGGAAACCCUGACGCAGCAACGCCGCGUGAGUGAGGAAGGCCUUCGGGUCGUAAGGCUCUGUCAGAUGGGAAGAAAUGGAUGGGGGCUAAUAUCGUCCAUCCUUGACGGUACCAUCAGAGGAAGCACCGGCUAACUCCGUGCCAGCAGCCGCGGUAAUACGGGGGGUGCAAGCGUUGUUCGGAAUCAUUGGGCGUAAAGCGCGCGCAGGCGGCUUGGUAAGUCAGAUGUGAAAUCCCUGGGCUUAACCCAGGAAGUGCAUUUGAUACUGCCUCGCUAGAGUACGGGAGAGGAAAGUGGAAUUCCUGGUGUAGAGGUGAAAUUCGUAGAUAUCAGGAGGAACACCGGUGGCGAAGGCGACUUUCUGGCCCGAUACUGACGCUCAGGCGCGAAAGCGCGGGGAGCAAACAG
rnacentral:rRNA from 1 species